rnacentral:rRNA from 1 species
GGGUGAACUGUGGUUAAGGAACUCGGCAAAAUGCCCCCGUAACUUCGGGAGAAGGGGGGCCAAACAUCCUGAAGCCCUUCGCGGGCUAGGGGUGGGUGGCCGCAGAGACCAGCGGAAAGCGACUGUUUACUAAAAACACAGGUCCAUGCGAAGUCGCAAGACGAUGUAUAUGGACUGACGCCUGCCCGGUGCUGGAACGUUAAGAGGACCGGUUAACUCCCUUUGGGGGGUGAAGCUGAGAAUUUAAGCGCCAGUAAACGGCGGUGGUAACUAUAACCAUCCUAAGGUAGCGAAAUUCCUUGUCGGGUAAGUUCCGACCUGCACGAAUGGCGUAACGACUUUCCGGCUGUCUCAACCACAGGCCCGGCGAAAUUGCACUACGAGUAAAGAUGCUCGUUACGCGCGGCAGGACGGAAAGACCCCGGGACCUUUACUAUAGUUUGGUAUUGGUUUUCGGUUCGGCUUGUGUAGGAUAGGUGGGAGACUGUGAAGCUGCAACGCUAGUUGUGGUGGAGUCGUUGUUGAAAUACCACUCUGGUCGAAUUGGGAAUCUGAACCUCGGGCCAUGAUCUGGUUCAGGGACAGUGCCUGAUGGGUAGUUUAACUGGGGCGGUUGCCUCCUAAAGAGUAACGGAGGCGCCCAAAGGUUCCCUCAGCCUGGUUGGCAAUCAGGUGUUGAGUGCAAGUGCACAAGGGAGCUUGACUGUGAGACAGACAUGUCGAGCAGGGACGAAAGUCGGGACUAGUGAUCCGGCACCUCCUGGUGGAAGGGGUGUCGCUCAACGGAUAAAAGGUACCCCGGGGAUAACAGGCUGAUCUUGCCCAAGAGUCCAUAUCGACGGCAUGGUUUGGCACCUCGAUGUCGGCUCGUCGCAUCCUGGGGCCGGAG